GGCCGUGUGGCGUAAUGGCAACGCGUCUGACUACGAUCAGUUUAUCAGGAGAUUGCAGGUUCGACCCCUGUCUCGGUCA